AACUUUCGACAACGGAUCUCUUGGUUCUGGCAACGAUGAAGAACGCAGCGAAAUGCGAUAAGUAAUGUGAAUUGCAGAAUUCAGUGAAUCAUCGAAUCUUUGAACGCACAUUGCGCCCCCUGGUAUUCCGGGGGGCACACCUGUUCGAGCGCCAUUUUCACCAUCGAGCCCUGCUCGGAGAUGGGCAUCGUCCUCGCGGACCGGCCCGAAACCUGUGGGCGCCUCCGUCCGGCCCUGAGCGUAGCAAGAGAAAUCCCUCGCUCGGUGGACCGUCCGGCGGCUGCCCCGACCAUUUUUUACAAGGUUGGCCUCGGAUCAGGUGGGGAUACCCGCUGAACUUAAGCAUAUCAAUAAGCGGAGGCU
rnacentral:misc_RNA from 1 species